GACGACUCAACAUAGUAUAGAAACUUAUACAUGUGACAUACGAGCCUAUAAGGCCGACAUAAUCAUUUGUAUACUCAAGACAUAGGCCGAUAAGGCCAUACAAGUAUCCAUAUAUAUGUCAUCUGUCUACAAGCCUCUAAGAGUACAUAAAUAUCAUAAACGUUGGGACAUCGCCCCACCAUACCAAUCAAUACAUAUUAAAAUCAUACUGACCAAAUAGGCAACUCUGGAGUAAGUGGAGUGCACAAACACCUUAUGCUGAGCUGAUAGCAUACUAUGAGAACUCUCAACCGGUCUAUCGGGACCUGCGAACAUGAAACGCAGCGUCCCCAGGCAAAAGGAACGUCAGUACAAAUAAAGUAUCGAGUAUGUAAGGCAUGAAAGAAACAUGGAGUAAGGAACUCAACCUGUAAGUCUAAAUAGCUCUCUGAAUCAUGAAAAUAUUUAUAAUUUCAUGCAUGCAUGUAUAAAUGACAUACCAUGCAUAAGUAUAUGCGUACAUAACAUCAUCAAGCCUUUGAGGGCAUCCCAUCAUAUCAUCUCAGCCACUGUGGGCGAAAUAAUCAACGUAUACCAGCUGAUCAUGUGGUGGUGCGUAUAUAACGCCAUAACCUUUUUCCAUAUCCCAUAUACAUAUAAUAUAUGCGUAUAUAACGCCAUCUGGUCAUGGGUCAAUGUACAUGUAUAAAUGAAUGAAAUGCAUAAGAAAUACGUUAAUAAGAUCAAUAUACCUUUCGGAUAAACUUUAUCAACUACGUAUUUUUUUGAAAACCAUGAACAGAAGAUAUAAAAAUAAUUCACAUGGGGAAUCAAGAACGUAGGCAUCUCUAAUACUUCUAUGAAUAGAGUCAUUUAUGAAAAUUGUGCAUUUGUUCGUUUUGUUUGUAUCGUACUAAUCAUGCCAAAAGAAAAGAAGGGAUAGCCUUAGAAUACCUUAUCACAAUAUUUUCAAUCACCAAGUUGAACUCGCCUCUUCAUACCUUAAUCUACAAUAACGAUAAUAAUACUAUCAUUAAGUUACGUAAGGUACAACUAUCGCACAACAAACGACAAAUUUAUUUUGUAUUAAAACGGGCAGCAUCUCCCCUAUAAUCCUUACUUUCUUCAAAUUCAAGAUAAUACCAAACGCAACAAUAUCAACAUGUAUACAUUAUUUUCCCAGCUUAUAUACACCACAAAAUACUACAAAACAGCCCCACACACCUUAAUCUCUUCAUACACAAAACGACCACCGUAGUAGUAUCAAACGGCCCGAAAUUAUUACGAUGAACGACCAGCCCACCACCCUGAAUUUAUGUGGUGUUUCUCCACAACCUUACUCCUCCAAAACUCCACAAAACGGUAGUAAAACACGCAGCCCAACAUCAACACAAAAUAAUCCAUAAAACAGUCCGCUACAAGUGAAUAACUUGAACCCACGGCUUUCGAUCACCGUCCCGUGAGUUCUAACUAUUUGAAAACGAAUUUAUCAACCUUCCUUAAUAUUUAAAGACUUAAAUAUAGAAAGUACACGUUUUCUUAACUGUGAAGUACCUUCCAAAACUCAAACUACAAAGAAAACGAGAGGCGAUAUAGCGAUACUUACGUCGUAGGGAUCGUUUUAAUGUUAUCGUUUUUUGAUUCCAUGCCCGGAAUGAUAAUCUUAUUUGAAGCUCUUGCAGAUAGUUUAAAAGUAAAGUUAGGGG
rnacentral:lncRNA from 1 species